CAAACUAAAGAUGGCGACCGGCGCACGGGUGAGUAACACGUAUCCAACCUGCCGAUAACUCGGGGAUAGCCUUUCGAAAGAAAGAUUAAUACCCGAUGGCAUAGUUCUUCCGCAUGGUAGAACUAUUAAAGAAUUUCGGUCAUCGAUGGGGAUGCGUUCCAUUAGGUUGUUGGCGGGGUAACGGCCCACCAAGCCUUCGAUGGAUAGGGGUUCUGAGAGGAAGGUCCCCCACAUUGGAACUGAGACACGGUCCAA
rnacentral:rRNA from 1 species